GUCUGCUGAUUUUUCCGGGGUGAUAUUAUGGAAUUGUGAUCUCAAAGGUGGCAGCCCAACAGGUUCAUCAAAUACAUCAGAAAAUUCAGUAAUAAUAGAGGUCAGAAUUUCUUCUUUAUUUUCAGUAUUUUCCUUCAUAUUCUGUUUUUCAGAGUUCACUUCCCCAAUAUAUUCAAAUCUGCAGAAAAAUACUCCAACAGUAGUUGCUGCUAGGGAAUUCAUUUCAUUUUUAGAUAGCUCAUCAUCAGAUAGGAUUGGUUCCCCCACCCAUUUAAUCCUUUCUCCUUUCCAAUUGAACUCAAUGUUCAUGUCGGUAUAAUUAGAUAGGACUGACUGAUCCUACAAUCUUGAACCAUUGGAUUCCUAAUACAAGGUUAGCCCCUUCCAUGUUCAGAACAAACAUAUCAAUUACCAAUGUCACUUGAACAGUCAUUUUUACCUGUUUACACAUCUUAUCGCACCUUAAUGACACCCCACUUCCUGUAGACACUAAGAAUGAAGGAAUAGGAGUGAUUGGUAGUCUUAAAUACCUUGCCACCUCCUCCUGAAGAAAAUUGUGAGUAGAGCCAAAAUCUAGCAAAACAGAUACUUUUAAAUUAUUAAUAUUAGCUGAUAAUUUCAGAGUUCUUGGACUGAGUUGGCCUUGUAGUGAGUGAUAACUUAUAUGAGUAUGUUCAGCCCUGAUUUCCUCAACAGCAACAACAAAUUGUUCUUCAACUUCAUUAGGCUCUAUAUAUUCAGCAAAGCACUCUCCAUCAGUUGAUAGGAUAAAUAGCCUUCAUUUGCCCUUGUGACCUCUUUCCCACUUCUCAGUGCAAUUAAAACACCUAUUCUUAUACCUUUUUAUUCUCAUUUCAGCAGGGGUGAGUUUCUGUCUCAACAUAGGUCCUUUUUUGUUUUCAGUGGGUGGUAGUGCUAAUACUUUUCUAUGUGGUGGUAUGUAGGGUUGUAAUGAGCCUAGCCGCCAGCUCAUUUCUUUCAUUUACGAGGGAAAAUUAUGCCGGCGGACUAGUGUAGCAACCUGCCGGCAUCCUGGCCGCUGGUCCUAUCUAUCGGCGGCUAGGGUGCCAGGAGGGAGCCGUCAGAACUACACUGUUUUUUUGUAGUGAUACCUCACUAGCUAUAGAGUUUGUUGUUGGGCAGUACCUUACAAUAUCAGUACUCAUGUCACUUCUUUCAUACAAUUAGGCCAGAGCAAAUGCCUCCACCAAAUUUUCAGGUCUAGCUUUAAUAACAUCUUUUUGAAUUUCAUUCUUUAAUCCUGACAUAAACAUCUCUUUCAUCACUCUGGGAUUAACAUCAAUAACUUUAUUAGAUAGAGCUUCAAAUUGAUGUUGAUAUUCCUUCACAGAGCCAGUUUGCUUAGCCUUCCCGCGGGUAUUUCAUAGGCUGAAGUACCAAAUCUUUUAACAAGAUCAUCCAGAAAAUCAGAUCAGGACUACUUUAGAGCAUUAUUAUUAUCUGCCCAUAGAAGCCAUUCCAGAGCUUCUCCUUCCAUGUUGAAUGUAGCCACUGUAAUUCUUUCUUCGUCUGGUAUGUUAUGAUACCUCAGAUAUUUUUUUAUCUUAUAAAUCCAGCCUUGGACAUUGUCACCAUCAAAUUUAGGCAUUUCUGUCCUAAUUGACUUGUAUUUCAUCUCUUGCUUCUGUUAUCCCUGGGGUUCUGUAUUAAUGAUGAUUAGUAGAGUUUCACUAAUCUUUGCUAGUGUUUGUUUCAUGCUUCUUAAUCUCUCAGCUUCGGUAUCUUGCUUUAUUUGGAGUCUUUUUAAUUGGACAUCCAUAUUUUCUGUCAUUUCCUCCAAUGAUGAUUGGAGAUCUGGAAUAUAAUUUUGUCACUGAAUAGAACAGUUUUAAAGAUAGGGAUUAAUAAAUACGUCCCUGAUCCGGAUCUCUUAAGCAGAGAACACGCUUUUGGAGAUUUUUUUUGUAGUUUUAUAGGUUUACAAAACCUUCUUCAGAUGUUCCCCAAUAAGAUCAAUGACCUGAAAUUUUUUUUUGUUCAAUAGUAGAAUUAAUAUUGAAUCAAAUAGUUGUAUACGUUCCUGAUUGGGAUCUCUUAAGCAGAGAACAUGCUUUUGAUUUGCUUUUUUUUUGUAUUUGCAGAUUUUUUUCUUUGUCUUCUGAAGAUCUUCAGAUGAUCGUCGGACUUUGAGCUAGACCCGGCCGGCAGGAGGGGUUGAAAGCACCAAUGAUGGAUUGAACUUGGCUGGUUAGAGAUUGGAAGAAAUGGCUGACAGCUGGAGCAAUAGAACAGUGCUAAAAC
rnacentral:lncRNA from 1 species